UGAUAUUCUUUGGGGAGAUUACGUUUCGGCCGUAAUUUGGGGAGGGGGUCUCUCUAUCAG
rnacentral:tRNA from 1 species